CUCGAGCUUUCAGUUGUAGAGAGAAAGCAACACUUACUGAGAAACUAAAAGAUGAUGUGUGUUGUAAAAUGAGAGUGCAGGGUGACAUUGCAAUUGAGCAAGCUAUCUUGAGGUAGAGAGAGAAGGUAGUCAAAGAUUUUGUUGUUGACAGUUUAGUUAGAACUAAAAUUGAUAGCGCCAUUGUACUCCAGUCUGUCACAGACUGAGAUAUUAUCUCUUAAAAAAAAAAUGGCUGGGCUUACUUUGGGAGGCCGAGGCAGGUGGAUCACUUGAGCCCAGGAGUUCAAGAUCAGCCUGACCAGCACAGUGAAACUCC
rnacentral:lncRNA from 1 species